GUGAGUCAUCGAAUCUUUGAACGCAAAUUGCACUCUUCGGUUUUUCCGAGAGUAUGCCUGUUUGAGGGUCGGUAAAAUGAAAUAUCGAUUGGUUGCUUAUUGCAACAUUUCGGAGUUGGGUUAACUUUUGAUAUUCUCAAGUGACCUAAAAUUCAUUACCUCGGUAUGAUUAACGUUCUUAAAUGAUUUCGUUCUGAGUGCCGAAUUUAUUAGACGUGACUAUUUUAUAGCAUCACUUCUAUAAUUUUUGAAUUUCGACCUCAAAUCAGGUAAGAUUACCCGCUGAACUUAAGCAUAUCA
rnacentral:misc_RNA from 1 species